rnacentral:piRNA from 1 species
UGGUAUUCUCACUGCCUAUUGUCACUUA